AUGCUGUUCGAGGAAAAGGCAGAAAAAGUUAACCAUGGCGGGUCGAUUCCAUGUGGAGUGCUUAAUUGGAGAAUUACGAAAUAUGACGAAAAAAACAAAAGGACGUAGUACGCUAAUGAUCAUCCACUCUAAGAUUUCGACGAAGUGCUGUAGUGUAGGAUUUAGAUGUCUCCUUUUUCGCCGUUGGGUGCAAUCAGCUUCUUCGAGGACGACAGCUACAAAUUCCAUUCUAAAGGAUACAUGGCUCAACAGGAAGAAAACGGGUUUUAAAACCCUUAGCUCCGGAAAAAUGCCGAGCCUGUUGAGGAUUCCUCCUUCAUCGUGCUGGGAUGAUUGAUUGUCGAAAACGGUAUGGUGUCUAUAUUGGCAGCUAACAUGGCGAUCUUACAAUCAUCUCUGGUGUUACGGAAGAGAGCGUCAAAUUUCCGGCCGUCAUCCCACUGAUACGACAUGCUCCUGAAAAUUCGCACCAUAUCCAGAUUUGAGUAGCCCUCGCAAAAAUCGUUCCCGCCUGGAACGCGAUUCAUUAGGUAUGAAUGCGUUUCGAACAUGCAACUCAUGAUGCAGUUCUUCAUCCGUCAGGUGACCGGUGUUUAAGCAAGAAUAUAAUCUUUUUAACUGAGGUAAAUCCAUUUUUUUUAAAAUUUCCUAAUAUAUAAAUGCGAACUAGAAAAGAAAAUAGCAACUAAUGGUUUUAAUUAUAGUUAGCAAAGCUUAGAUUAAUUUGAUUAAAAUUACGACGGCAAAACAAGUACACUAUAAAAAAAAUUAAAAUGUUACUUAUUUAUAUUAAAUCAACUCAACAAGGCCAAAUGAAAUGUGGACGAGAACAAACGUUAAAUAUAAAGCUACAAAUAAAUAUUUAA